rfam:Blastomyces dermatitidis ER-3 genomic scaffold supercont1.1, whole genome shotgun sequence.
UCCUCGAUGGUCUAGUGGUCAUGAUUUCCGCUUGUCAUUUACGUGCCGAGCGCGGGAGACCAGGGUUCGAUUCCCUGUCGGGGAG